CCAGACUCCUACGGGAGGCAGCAGUGGGGAAUAUUGCACAAUGGGGGAAACCCUGAUGCAGCGACGCCGCGUGAGUGAAGAAGUAUUUCGGUAUGUAAAGCUCUAUCAGCAGGGAAGAAAAUGACGGUACCUGAUUAAGAAGCCCCGGCUAACUACGUGCCAGCAGCCGCGGUAAUACGUAGGGGGCAAGCGUUAUCCGGAUUUACUGGGUGUAAAGGGAGCGCAGGCGGCGCGGUAAGUCUGAUGUGAAAGCCCGGGGCUCAACCCCGGGACUGCAUUGGAAACUGUCGUGCUGGAGUGUCGGAGGGGCAAGUGGAAUUCCUAGUGUAGCGGUGAAAUGCGUAGAUAUUAGGAGGAACACCAGUGGCGAAGGCGGCUUGCUGGACGACAACUGACGCUGAGGCUCGAAAGCGUGGGGAGCAAACAGGAUUAGAUACCCGCGUAAA
rnacentral:rRNA from 1 species